rnacentral:lncRNA from 1 species
UAGUCUUUAGGUUGAAGUUACUUUCAGUGCUUGAAGAAUUGCUAAAAGGAUGCACUUUUUUUAAGGUUAAUUUUACUACUGUUGAUGACCUAUGACUCGACUCUGGGUUUUUGUCAUAGAAUCUCAAGCAACCUUCGAAAUUGAGGGUUGAAUAAGGAGUAGUAUCUCAAUAUACUGGUGUUAUGUGUAAAAAUGUUGUUAUCAUUAUAUGUUGAAGAAAAGAUGGGCCUGCAUUCGAUAAUGAUAGUGUAGAGUGAGCAGAGAGAGCUAGCAGAGAGAGAGAGAGAGAGAGACCUGCUGAUAUCAGAGUCAGGAUGAGAUCAACACCCGGUCACUGAUAUCUAAUGAUUUAACCGACUCAACCAGUUGCCACCCCUAGAGAGAGUUAUUUUGGUAAGUUGGCUAGUAUGGAAUAUGAGCUGGAAGGUAAUAGGAAGUGAUGCAUAUUUUAUAUGUAUCACGUAUGUUUUUUUCCUUUUUCUUGACUGAAGACUUGGUGGUAAAACAUUUUGAUAAGUAAUUUCAAGGAGAAAGGAAAAACAUACUUGUGACCAAUCAAAGAGGGAAAAAAGGGUGAAAUUAUGAGACAACAUCAGAAAGGUGGCGGAGAACCUGAUUUUGGGGGAUCCAUUUAAGAGUUUAGCAUGGUUUGUUAUUAAGUUCCUACUAGUUGAGAGUGGGGAUGUUUGAAAUAUUUCUUAAGAAGUUCAUUUACAGUUCUGAAUUUAACAGGAAAAAAAAGCAAAAUUAAAACUUUAUUGUAAAAAUAAAGUGUUCAGUAGUGCCUACUGGGAAGUGCUUUUUCAGAUGAGUGGAAGUCAAAAGGCUGCUAAAUUAAGGGAAGCUAGAAGAUAAGCUUCUGGUCUUAGCUUGUUUGAAGCACCUGCUUUUGUUACCUGAAAAUAGUGAAUUCCUCUUUUUCAAGAGUAAAAUUUUGUAAUAGGCAAAUGGAUUUGAUGUUCUCGUCCAACCUAUCAUGGAACCUACCCUAACCCAAACGUGUAAUCCUGUGGGUCAAUUCCAAGUUCUUAAUCCUUACCAAAAUCUUAACUUACAUGAAUUCAAGUCUAGCAGAAUUAUAUACUAACUGAGUGAAAGCAAUUACACCAAAAACAUCUAAUGAAACCAAUUAUGCCUAAAACUGCUUUUGCAUUAUGUGUUCACCCAAAAGCAAGCUGGUGAAGUGCUUCUCUUCAAAGCAAUUCCAUGGGAGGGCUUCUUGAAGAGCUCCUGGAAAAACCAAAAGCAGCUUCAGUAUUGUUAUAAGGAUUUAUUACAAAUAGUACAGUUUUUCACUCUAUAAUAAACUGUUCAAUGAAAUGUUGAAAUGGCAUUGGUUUUGUGGUGCAUGGUUGUUUAUGUCUAGGGCUUGAUGAUUCUCAUUUGAUUCACUUUAAGGAGUUCUGUGAUGUUUAGGAAUUGCAUUUUUGUGGUCUUCAUGGAUGUAGUCCUGUCUUUGUCUACAACAAUUUUGACCAAUAAAAUAUUGUAUUUAAAAAACUGAUCCUUGAAAGACUCAGAAAAAAAUGAGGAUGCUAUGAUUUGUUUGGAUUGACAAACGGUUGACAACCAAAACUAUGUGAUAUGCAUGCUGAAAUGAGUAGCCUGAGAUGGUCCUGACUGUAGAAAUUUCUCACUUUCAAUGCAAGCCUACCAUGUAUUACUUGUAACUUCCAAUAUCUUGAUAAAAAGAGAAUGCAUCUAAAUUUUUAAUAGCAAUAUCAUGGAUAAAUGGAAACCAUGUCAUCACUGUCUUAUUCAAUUCAUUCUUUAUUCCUUAGUCAAUAUCAUUUUCAGAACUUCCCUUUCUUUAGCAAAUCUAAACAUUACUCUUUAUAGGAAACUAGGUGAUACAAAAAGGAUGUCUUUACCUCCUUUUUAAGUGGUGAUCCAUAAAAUUUGACUUUUACAUAGCACCAAAUGAUUCAACUUGCUAUUGAGAUAAUAGUGUGUAUAACCAUCCAAUAUUGGAUGAGAACCAAAUAGAAAUUUGCUCGCCUCUCAUCAACUUCAUUAUGCACUUUGAUACAUGCGGCCAAAAAAUGAGCACUUAUUACAUUUUGCCUCAUUCAAGAUCUGAAAAAUUACAAAGCUUCAUAUUCCUUCACCCCUUACAUGCACCCAACAGUUAUUUACCCCAGCAUUCAUAUUGUGGGCAUUAUCCUUAGGGCCUGUUCUUUGGUAGAUAAAUAUUAUGGAAAAGUUGGUCAAUUUUUCUAUUGAUCAAUUUACUCAUGUUCUCAUACUUUUCAAGAUGGAUAAGUUAUUUUCUCAUGGAUAGCAUUUAUCCAUCAAAUAGAAGAAAAUCUUACCCACCUAAGGGAUGGCUAAAUCAUUUUUGAUCAACUAAAAAAAUAACCUUUUUAUUUCAUUCCUAAUAUAUCCUUAAUCUUAUUAUCAUGAUAAUAACAUAAUAAUACAAUAUAUUAUAAUAUAGUAUAUCAUAAUAAUAAUAUAAUAUAAUAUGAUAUAUUAUAUUGUACCAUAUUAUUAUAUAUAAUAAUAUCAUAUAAUAUAUAACAAUAAAAUAAUAUAAUAUAUUAAUAUAUUAUAAUAUAAUAUAUCAUAUUAUACUAUCAUAUUUAUAUAAUAAAAGGUAUUAUGAAAAAUAUGGAUAGAUCUUGGCAAUUUAUCCAAGAAAACUAAUAAUGCAAAAGAAUAUGGAUAACAGAUUUUCGAGCCAUAUUCCAAUGCAUAAAAGAACAUGGGUAAAUUAUUUUUCUGUUUAAAUGUUGUCUGGAAAAUACUUAUCCAGAAAAAUACAAAUUCCUGGGUAAAUUUUUUUCCCUCAAAAGAACAGGCCCUUAACUCAUUAGUUCUUGUGAAAACCAUACAAUUUCCACACAAAAUGUUUUUUUGGCCAAUACUCUAUAUUAUUUCCAAAGUUUGGUUUGAGUCCACGAUGCCAUGCACAUUUUGCCAUUUUUCUGUGUCAAACCUUUGUUUGCUUUGCAUUUUGUGAUUUCAAUCAGGAUCCUUGUCACCUUUAUGAUCUUGAAGAAGGGCAUGAUCUCAUUUUUCCUAUGUUUCAUCUUCCCUCUUAUGCCUUUGAAUAUAAAAUCUAAAGAAAGAAAAAGAAAGUAAAGUGAACAUGUAGUGUGACUCAAUAAGCAUAAAAGGUUAGUGUCAGUUAUCAAUGUCUUGUUUGAUAAUUGACUGGGAGUGUGCCUAUGGUUGAAAACUUGAAAUGACAUGUAAUAUUUUCAGAAUAUUGGGCAAUAUUAUUUUAUAAUGUUCCAUUACCUCUGUGAGAAAGGUGACAUGCCCAUUGCACAAUCUAAAAGAGCAUAACACUUAAAUUUCUCUAGAUAAAUAUUUGAAGUUAAAGCCCAAAACCAGAUUCCUUAAAGACAUAAAACAAAGCUAUUAAUUGAAAGACAGGGGACUUGUAAUGUGAUUGUGGAAGGCUUUUAUCUUGGUUACGUGCUGCUCUAGGAAUUCAAUUUACUCCCAUUCUCAUAUGCUAAUGGGCUAUGAGCUUAAUAAUUAUUGUAGAAUUGUCUAUCGCUACGUUCAUCCUCUCUAUACAAUUUCUUAUUAUAUAGUUCUGUGAUCCUUUUGUAAGCUUGCAAAUAUUGAAUUAAAAAAUUAAUAGCAUUGUCUAAUGUUACUUCUGGAAGUUAUUCUUUAUGGUUAUUUAUUAACUAUAACAAUAUGCUCUGUGCGUUGUGUCCAAAUCAACUUGUGAUACCUCUCCUGGUUCAUGUAACUUAAAGUUUCACAUGUAGGUACAUAUUAGAUGAUAAAGUGCUUGGAGAGGCUAGAAUAAUUUACUCAUCAGAGUUUGUUUAAGAAACUAAAUUUAAGUGGGCUUCAAUUUGGAGCUUUGAGAUAGUUUGUGUCAACAUCUGCAGUAGGCUUUCAAAAGGCCUGGAUUUUCUUGUAGCUGCAUGUGCCAGCAGCAUUUAUAAUCUACUCUAGAAGGGUAAUUAUUUCCAUGGAAAUUUUGUUCCAUUGAAUGAGAGAAUCUUUUUUCUCCCUAUCAAAGGUUUUCUUGUAGUUUCUCUUGUUCUUUUAGUAUUACGUGCUUCAUUAUCAGUCUUUGUGGUUCAGAAAUUCAUGGUUGGAGAUAAUUAAUAACCCAUCUUCCACAGGCUGAACAGGGAAAGAGAGUUGAUAAUCUUGUUUUUCCCCUUCUAAUCAGAUUAUUUUAGGAGUUCAUACACAUUCUUCCCAUUAACGUACCCAUUGUUUGGUGGUCAAUUAAAAAAAACCGAUUGGGGUACUGAUUAUGUAGGGUUCCUUGGCAUGCUAUGAUUGAAUCAUGUCUUGAACUCAAUGACAAAAAUUUGAAAGGUCAAGAGCCUACUCUGGCCAAGUGGGCAAUGAAGGGCAAAAAUUGAGAGGUCAUCUGUUCUGCAAGGCCCUGAAUUGCUGAACUAGCUGGACUGUUGAGUUAUUGGUCAACUGUAGAUGUUGGCUUGUGGACCUUAUGAACUAUCCCUCCAUCCGGGUCUUAGGCGAAGGAAAGAAAAAAGGAAAAAGAAUGAUGAGUAAAAGAGAAAAAAUGGCAGAUGAAGGAAAUGCGGGAGCAGCAGUGGAGAAAAGGAAAAAGGAGAAAAGAAGAGAAACAAAAUAAAAGGGCAAAAAGAAAAGGGACAAUACAGUACAAAAUAUGAGACAAAAGAGCAUGAGAAGAGUAUAAAAGGAAAAAGACAAUGGGGAAGAAAGAAAUGCAACUAAAUUAGGUUUUACUAGAGAAAUGGAGGGAAAAGAAAGAUCAAGGAAGAAAUAUGAAGGGAAAUGAAGGAAGAAGCAAAGGAGUAGAUGAUGAAUGCAAUGAUGUGAAAAAUUUGCUUCAAAACAUGGAGUGAUGCUGGUAUGGAAGUGCCUAAUAGCAGGGAGGUUCCUUUCCUCUCCUCUCUUGUCCCAGUGUAUAAUUUUUUAGAUGCACCUAGCUUAACAGUUUGAUAUAAAUAAGUAUACUUAUGAAAAUAGAUAUGCAUAUGUAUUACCAUAUAUGAACUAUAUAGUUAAGUGUGUAGCAGUAUGAUUAUCCAGUUGAGUGUUUUGAUACUCAUCAUCAUAAUGGUAGUGCUGAGCCUUGUCUGAUUUAUGUUGUUUUUCCUUUCCUCCCCAUGCUUGGUGCUAUUAUUAUGUCUAUAGCUUGAUGCUGGGUCCCGCUUUUUGGGUUUUCUGAACUUGUGGUUAAGUCCCUGUCUGUAUACAAUGCUUUGUAUGUAAUAAUCAUAUUUUGGUAAAGUUGUAUUUGAUCUUUGUUGCUAGUUUUUUUUUUAAUAAAAAAUAUGGUGCUGCUUAUAUGUAUGCAUACAUGCAUAUGUAAUAAUUCUUAUAGAUUAAAGUUAAAAUAGCUAUAUAUGUUUGUUUACAUAUAUAAUUAUUUUAUUGUCAAUUGUAUGAACGUUUAUGUAUAUAUUCUUUCUCUAACCUCAAAUACUUGCUAUGGAAUACUUCACUACAAUGCAGCAACCAGGAGACUAACACGUGGGCAGAGGUUCAAUAUUUCCGUAGGUAAGUUGCAGACACAUGUUCUGCUGCAAACAGUUGUUCAAAGUUAAAUGCAAGCAUAUUCAUUGCUGUCAGUCUCAGCAGGGUGGCAAAACAAAUUUUUGUACAUAGAUAGGGAUGCUUAGUUCAAAUUAUUGCCUAGGUUAUAAGUAGAAAAAGUUGGACUCACCCAAGUAACCUGAUUUCAUGAUUGAGUGUGGCUAAUACAUUUACUUUUCACAUUGGUGUCAGUCAUUGUCUCAAACCUUAAUGUGGAAGGAAUUUUCUAUGCUGUGGUAAUGAGAUUCGUCAAGGCUUAUUAAUUGUGGAGUUUGGUAGUCUCUACAUUCUGUCCCAAAGGAACAAUAGCCCCCUGUUCCUGCAUGUUGAGCUCUUUUUCCUUAGUAAUUUUUAGAUGCGCGAUUUGAACUACUGAGUGGCUGUAUUGUAGGCUCUGCCAUGCUCACGGGAAUGUGGAGAUUUGACAGGUCAUUAAACUCAUGCCUUGAUCAAAUUCUAGGGUUUGAAGGAAGUCGCAUGCAGAGGGAGUUGGCAAAUAUGUAAAUCCUCAAUCUCACCGCAUGAUUCAUAUAAAGUUGUCAAUCAAUUCUAAUGGUUUCUACUUGUGGUCUCAUGAGAUAACUGAACUUUCAUUCACUCAUCUAAUUUAUGAUCUGGUUUUGCUCUUUGAUCGCAGAAUAUUGACAAAACACAGGGAUAACUUAUCAAGGGUGCAGCUUGUAAAAAAACAUUUCUACCCAGAGCAAGUAUUUAAUGACUUAAAUCCAGAUAAACCUUUUCUCAGGUGGCGAUCACGGAAUUUCUAUGUGGACAACAGUGCUGUUCAAAAGACAGAAGGUCCAGAGGAUAGCAGCUAUCUUGAUAAACUUGACACACAACCGAGACACUCCACUGUAAGUAUAUUAAAUUGAAGCUUGAACUGAUCAUAGAACUUCUAAAUAACUGCUUUGCCUAACUGCACGCUCACUUCUCAACAUGAAUUUUGUUAUUACUGUGGAAAUCUAGAAGAAUGAUUCUCUAGUUUGUAUAGUACUUAUCCUCCCUUAUUUCCAGAGGAGCCUAGGUGGAGAUAUGACUGCAGAUCCGUUGGACUGUGUCUUUGGUUAUCCAGAUAGUGACAUGGAGUUCGCUCAUUCUGACGACAUGAGAACACAUCCUAGAAGACAGAUGCGUUCCCACAGGAGAGCUCAUCGGCAUCGCCGAGCUAGAAAUUCUGAAUUUCCAUCUGAUCAUGCAAACUAUCAGGACUGAAAACCCAAACUUAUUGACACUUUGGUUCUGAGAAGUGCUUUGAUGGUGGUGCAUUGGAAAAGGUAUAUUUAAGAUUAAGGAAGCAAAGGAGCUGAGUGGUGUUUCACUAAUAAAAAUUAGUAAGGUACGUUGUUGUAUUGUGAUGUUCCCACACUUCAAUGAGGCUUCUAUCCUGGUGCAUGAUAAUAGAGGAUUUCUUUGGAGUUCAUGCUGGCUUCAUCCUUGUAGCAAUUGCUUUCACUUUCCAUUUAAGCGGUUUAACUCUUGAUCAACAACGCUGAUGUUUGGAUUGUUUUGGUAACAACAUACCUUUUCUUUCUUUUAUUUUGUAGGUUCGCUGCAUUACCUUUGAACUUAAGAAAAAUAGCUUGAAGCAUUCUGAAGUUUUGCACCAAGGGGAAUAAGAAAACUGAAGUGAUGUGCUUAUUACUGAUCUUUAUUGAGAAUUUUUGCAUCAAUCAUUGCAGGCCCAAAUGGGUUUUCCUGAUUGAUUCAUCUUGUUAGACUAGCAGGCAUGUGCAACCUGUUCUUUAGCCAAUCAAUGGUCCACGUCCAUUUUAUAGAAUGCCUCAGUCCUCAUGCUCUCUGUUUGUAGAUUGCUGAGCAGAGCCGCAAGCCAAAGGUAAUUCCGGGUUCUGAAAUUCAUGGGAUGCUUCUCAUGCAUUUGUUAGAAAUGGAUGCUUGGCAAGGACCGUAAGUGCAGUGCAAUUUAGAUGCUGCCGUCUAAAGCUGACAACAAAUUCAGAAAAACUGGUAGUAGAUUAUGUUGUUGCAGAUUUCGAAAUCCGGAGUAAAGUGGAUCGAUUUGGAUGAAAUUAGGCUAAAGCAAUUUUUGCGAUCUAAUGAAAAUUCUUUCAAUCUGCAAAAUCAAUCAAGAAACUAGGUGGGGAUACUUCGGUUCUUGAUCCUUCGAUGUUUAAGUCAAUUCGAAUCUAGAAAAUAGAGGUGAAAAAGAGUGGAAGAGCAAGAGAAAUUGAAUGAAACUGAAGGAGAACUGGGUAGGAGUUAAGAGUCUGGCUUAAUUUUCUACUAGUAGAGUUUUUCUUAAUUUUUGAGAGUAGAACUUAUCGUCGGAGGAUCUCUGAUCCUUUAUUUAUAGAUGGGUUGAGGAGGUCAUUUCAAAAUUUGUUAGACCGUUAAAGGAGUUUGUUAGGUGGUUAGAGACCAUCUGUAAGUGAGUUGGUAUACAGCUGUGCAUAUGAGCUGGACAUAAGAUUGUGGCUAACUGUGGUCUAAUUGAGGAAGUCAUUGUGGGUAUUUUGCAGAAUGGUUAAAUUCAUCACAAUAGUAACUUAUUUCGGUAGAUGAUCGGAAUGAAAUAGAGAUAUUAUAACAUUCAUCCCGGAUAAAGAAGACAUCAAGGUUCAAAUCGAUAGAUAUCCGACUUAAAUAUUUUUUUAUCAGUUGAGAUGUUGUUCGGAUAGAAUAUAAGGGUGUUUUUUAUUUAGAUCAGUAAAAUACCGAGCUGAAUCUGUCAACAGGUAAAUUGGUAUAUCAGGAUUUGACGUUUUAAGAUUGAUAUUUCUUUGAUCCCGUAUGAUGAUGCCACGUGUCUCGAGGCUGGUUUAGUGUACCGAUAUUUUGCCCCUCACUUUCUAUAUUCGAGAUGAUAAUUUUCUGAUCAAAUUAGAAAGUAAGAGUAUCUUCAUAAAGUAGAAUUUUAAUCAAUUUGGAAAGCGUCUGCCAUAAAAAUCAGAUUUUAUCAAUUGGGAUAUCUUAUUUUUGGAUUAGCCUUUUCUGGCUCAAUUUGUCUUUUGAUUCGAUCGUUCACCAAUCAGAAAAUCUCAUCUCUACAUUUGAUUUUUGGUUCGAUUUUUUACCGAUCAGAAGAUUUUAUCUCCGCACUUGAAUUUUGAUCUGAUUUUUAUCGGUCAAGAGAUUCUUUCUCUACAUUUGAUUUUUGGCUCGAUUUUUUACCGAUCAGGAGAUCUUAUCUCCGCACUUGAAUUUUCGGUUCGAUUUUUAUCGAUCAGGAGAUCUUAUCUCUAUGUUUGAUUUUUGGCUUGAUUUUUCAUCGAUCAGGAUAUCUUGUCUCCAUACUUAAAUUUUGACUCGAUCGUUCGAUCAGGAGAUCUUAUCUUCGCAGUUAAAUUUUCUGUCCGAUUUUUAUUGACCAGAAGAAUUUAUCUCUAUAUUUGAUUUUUAGCUUGAUUUUUUUAUCAAUCAAGAGAUCUUAUCUCCGCAUUUUACCUUGAAACUUUUCGGACUGAUGUUGCCACCGCUUGGAAUAAAUAUGCUGCACCUCGAGAGCAUAAAAAUUAAUUACUUGGUUGAAAAAGAAGAGAUUUGACCUUUCAAAAAAUGAUCCAUCAAAUCUUCUAUCAUCAUUGCUUGGUCAGACGAUUUAAAAAUAUCAAAUAAGAAUGCGACAACUGUCAAUGUCUGAUUGGCUUAUUAGCUUGGGCAUGGAUCGAUUCGUCGUGAUAGAAUUUGAGGGAGAUGUACCUAACCGCCGUCUGAUCGAGCAUCGGAUUAACAUCAGAUGUCACAAAUCGACAAGAAGAUCAGUUAAUCCAGAUCGUUGAUUCGCCUAUAAAAGGUUUUUGCCCUUCGGUUAGUGUUCAUUUCUGCUGUUACUGUGCGAAGGUGCUGCCAAAAUAUUUUCAGAGACUUCUCAGCGUCGAACGAUCGUCGGAGAUAGCGAGAAGCUUCACCGAAGCGGGAGGAGAGGAGUCCACUAUUCAUCUCUUGGGAGGAUUUCAUCUAUCUUUCUUAGGUAUCAAUCCUCCCUCAUUUGUUCUCUUUCAGCCUUGUUCUCUUUCAACCGUAAAGAAGCCCCUCCUUCUCUUUCGAUUCUUUUUGUUUUUUCCUCAUAUUUUUUCUUCGAGAAACAUGUCCAAGAGAGGUAGAAAGGGGAAGGAGACCAUAGGUGACCCACAUAGUAGGUCGACCCAGCCCUUACUGGCCAUAGAGGUAGGAAAUCCACCUCGGAGGAUCUUGAAAUUGGUUCUAUAAGUGAGGGGAGUUUGGAUCACAAUGCAGAACCUUCUGUGCAUGGUCUCACAGAAUACCUUGGUCCAGAAAUAGAAAGAUCUAUUCUGAUUGAGGAGAACCUCAUAAUCCUUAGGGACAAAUACGACAUACCUGACGAGUAUAAGAUGAUAGUGCCAGAUUUAGAAGGUCGAGUCUUUGAACUUUUCGAAGGCUGAUAGCCUUCUAUGAUGAGUCCCUUUGAUCCGAUCUGCGGUUUUCAUUGCACCUCUUUUUCAUCAAUUUCUUUGAUUUCUAUAGGAUCCAUCCCAUUCAAAUAACUCCAAAUGCAAUUAGGAUGAUCAUAAUAUUCAUCAUCAUGUGUAAUUUUCUUGAUAUAGAUUUUAGAAUCUCCUUGUUUAGAUCUUUGGUCCUUUUAAAAAAGGCAUUCGGGUGAGAAAGAUUGGUGGUGCUUCUCACCUUGAAAAAAUUUUAAAUUUGGACCUAGCCUUCCCUCUUCAAUUCAUGACUAAAAAGGACAUUUUUUCUUUGUCCGAACUCCCAUUCCAAGAGGCUUUAGGACUUCCUAGGGGCAUCCGGACAUCUGACAUAAUUCUAAUGAUGAAAUUCUCCUCAGGGAUGAGGUGGCUCAUUCAACUCUGAUCAUCACCAAAACACCCAAGCUUUCUUCUCUGAUAAACGAUCAGGCAUUGUAUGACGUCGAUAUUGGUCUGUACUCUCUUUAAGAUAAGAUCGAAGUAUUUUUUUUUUAAUUUCUCCCUUCUUUUUUUGUCUUCAUUAUUCUGAAACAUAAUGUCUGAUGCAGAAAUGAUGUUCAAUCCAGCGAAAGUGGAGGAGAGAAAAAGGAAGGAUCAACCAAAAUCAUCUACCACUGUCCCUGCACCAAAGAGAGUUAAAGGUGCAGAAUCUCCUCUUGCCUUGGUGUCAUCCCGAUCUUCAUCAGUGACGCCUUCUCCGACCAACUCUGGGAGAAGUGAAACCUCUCGGGGACAACAAAAUUCUCCUCGGGCUUUGUCACUGGAACCUCCACCUUGCUAAUCUGUUGUGGUGAGGAUCAAGAUGACAACGCCUGGCCUGCAUCGCCUUCCAAAGAGCCCAAGCACAAGCCGACCAUAAUCUUUGGGGCCCCGUCGGGCUCGAUCAAGGGGGAUGCUCCUGGAGCGGCUCCGAUUAGGCCGCGAUCUCCUCAAAUCGAUGAUACCGACCGUCGAUCUGGAGGCGCAUCGCAAGAAUAAAUCAGAGAAGAUCGUCAACCACUGAUUUGAACAACUCAUGCAUGUGAGUAUUUCUUUCUUUUCUUUCUCUCUGUUUUUUUUACUUCGGUGAAUGACUGACCUGAACCUUUAUCCUGUAGGUCGUUGUUGAUUUUAAGGUUACGUAUGAGAAUAUGAUCUACAAGAAUAAAGAAGCCAUGGAUGUCAAUCUGAUCAUUCUCCAGGAGGAAAAGAAAAAGGAGUCCGAACUCGCUGUCAAACUCAAACAUCAACUCGAAGAGAAACUGAAGGCUCUGAAGGAAAAGAAUCAGAAUCUACUGGACCUUCAGCAGAAAGUCAACGAAUAGGAGAAGAAAAUUUUUGAUUCGCAUACUAUUGCAGAGAAGAAUAAGAAAUUGGAGUUGAGGCUUAAAGAGGCAGAGAAGGCCAAUGAGGCUCAUGAGAAGGCCAUCGAGGCUUUGAAGAGGUAGAUUAAAAAGCAGAACAAAGUGGCCAUGGUGGUGGAAUUGUACAAGGCUUCCGAGGAGUUCGAGGAUCAAGUGUCCGAGAGCUCUGAAGGUGCAUACGAUUACGUCUUCAGUUAAUACCGCAACCUUUUCAAAAAGUUGUAUCCCAAGGUAGACAUCUUUAAGGUCACUCCAAAAGUGGUUGUCGAGAUGGGCGUGAUUAGGGAUCUUAAGUCACCCUCUGAAGCGGCAAAGGAGCCAGCAAAGGAGUUUGGUCAAUCUUCCACCAGGGUGAAAACAACAGAAGCUAUCGUUGCGAAGCCUAUAUCCAUGGUGCCUCCAGUAGAGGUUGAAGUUCUCAAGAUCGGUAAGAAAUCGAAGUCCACCCUAGCCAUGCGGCCUGCUAUUACUGAUAUUGGAAAGCCAGAGCAACCCAAAAAAGAACCAACCAAGGAGAGCUCCGAUGCAUCGAUGAUCAUCUAGUGAAAAUUUUUCUUCUUCUCUGGAUGUACUGACCUAGUAUAAGUCUUCUUUUUUUUUGAAAACAUGUAAACCCGAUAUGGGUUCUUAUUUUUGUAUCUUCUUUAAAUAUCAAUGCAAGAGAUAUUUUCUUAAGCGUACUUGAGUCAUAUAUUCUAAAUUUUAUUGCUUGCCAGAAUAAAAUAAUCACAUGUAUCUUUGUAAUUCAACAGAACCAAAAACUGAUAACUAAUUCAAUAGAAUCGAAAAUUGAUAACUUUAAAUUUAUCCAUCAUCAAUUAAUUAAAAAUGAAGGAUGGGAUGUACCUUUAUUUGCAUGACCACAGAUGGAUCAAGUUUUAAAGUUCGAUUCGGAGAUCGAUAUUUUCAAGAGAAUCUAAAGAUAAUCUCAUUCUAGAGAUCAAUAUAAUAUUAUAUCGGUUCGAAAUCAAUGUAAAAUUUUUUCGAUCUCGUAUUCGAUACAAGACUCAUCAGUCGAUGGGGGGAUCAAGUCCUUCGUGAUAAUAUUGGAUUGAAAUUCAGAUUAAAUUAUGUGCCCUUUGGAGCUUCAUCGGACUGAAAUCCAGAUCAACACGUAUGCCCUUUGGGGCUUUAUCGGAUUGAAAUUCAGAUUGAUAGAUGUACCUUUCAGGGCUUUACCGGAUCGAAAUCUGGAUCGAUAGAUGUGCCCUUCGGGGCGUUACUAGAUUGAAAUUCGGGUGGAUAGAUAUGCCUUUCGGGGUUUUAUCGGAUUGAAAUCUGGAUUGAUAUAUGUGCCCUUCGGGGCUUUACCGGAUCAGAAUCCGGAUUGAUAAAUAUGUCCUUCAGGACUUUACCGAAUUGAAGUCUGGAUUGAUAUAUGUGCCCUUUGGGGUUUUACUGAAUCAGAAUCCAGAUUGAUAUAUGUGCCAUUCAGGGCUUUACCGGAUCGAAAUCCAGAUUGAUAUAUGUGCCCUUCGGGGCUUUACCAGAUUGGAAUCUGGAUUGAUAGAUGUGCCCUUCGAGGCUUUAUUGGAUUGAAAUUCGGAUUGAUAUAUGUGCCCUUCGGGACUUUACCUGUUUAAGGAUCGAAUUUCGAUAAAUGGAAGGAUAUGGCAUAUGAGAAAGAGCUCAUUAGAGUAUUUUUAUUGAUAAUAUUUUUUGAGAUCUUUAAAAUUUCAAGUACGAAAAAUAAUAGAUCUGUCUAAAUUCUCGAUUCUAUAAGCCUUUGGAUGAACUACAUCAGUGACUCGAUAAGGUCCUUCCCAAUUGAAAGCUAAUUUAUCUCGCUUAGCGGACUUUGAAAUUUCAGCUCAUCUUAGGACAAGAUCACCCUUUUCAAAUAACUUCGGCUUCACCAGACAUUGUAAUUACUACUACUUAAAUCGGUCGAGGUUGGAAAAUGGACGUCUGGUCCUCAUGCAAGGAUGCUGAUGCUGGAGUGAUCUGUAAGAUAAGUCCCAAAUCGGAGGUGGUGGCUCCGACGAGGAUUCUCUGACACUCAAGUUAGAAGAGCAGAUAACAAAGGAGCAGCAACAGAUUCUCUGAGAGAGAUUUGAUUGGACUUACCUAGGUCCUCGAAGCUCCGAUUGUUUAUAUAGAAGGAUGUCGGAUAGCUGGAUUGUUAGCUGUGGGAUUGCACGAUCCCGAAAUUAUCGGGCCAUUGGAUAUGUCAAACUAGAUGAGAUAAUUUAGCCUUUAAUUGCUCCCACGAGAUCAGGGGAGAUGAUUACGCCAGAUCCUAUCUAUUCAGGAUGGACAGCUGUCACGCACAUUAAAGAGAUAAGUCGGCUGAGGUGAUGUGGGCAGCUCAUAUACAGGUUAGACCUCAUGGAUGCUUCAGCUCAGUAUAGGAACGGAGUUCUCAGCUCAUACGGCGAUCAGCGAUCAUAUUGAUGAUCCAAAAACUUGAAAUGUCUUGUGAUGUAGUGUUGAUUCGAGAUGCUCACGGUAACCAUCGUAACACUAUCCCCCUACUCUUGAGUUUGAGAAUCAGACGAAAGGAGUACUCCAAAAAAAUACCUCAGAUCCAAUGCUAUGUGCUUCAGCCUUCACGCCUGCCUUCUGUAUUUAAAGCGUGUGACGUCAGCCUAAUGCGACUGAUGUGGAUAGGCAUAACUAAUGGGAUCAUCCAGACAACAGUCCAUUCGAAGUUUUAAUUACUUUACGAUAGCCUUUCAUUUUCUUCUAUCUUUAAAUUUGUGCUUUGAAGGUACAGAUAGCCACUGAUCUUCUUUUCUGUUGAUUAUUCAUCACGUUUCCUUAGAGCAAGAUGGAUUCACAACACGUGAAGAGAUUUGAGCAAAUUCUGACUCAUAUGAGGUAGGUCAUAGUUUUGGUUGCUAAAAUAGGACCCACGAUCGGAGAAGAAAAAUAUGCCGCUUUUGCUGCUGAGCCUAUAGUCCCACCAUUGGAAGCUGUGACACAGAAUUCUGCAGGAGAAGUUCCAGUCGACGGGGCAUCGACGGAGACAGUAUCAGAAAUGAGCGCUGAAGAAUAUUUUGAAAAAGAUCUGACUAAGGUAGCAUGGAUGGAGAAGGUGGUUAACAAUCUGGAGAAUGAUCUGAUGACGACGAUGGAGAUUGGGGGAUCUCUGGAGAUGGCGACUCCUGCUGGGCGCUUUCUUGCAUCCACUUCUCAUGCGGGAUUCUUAGAUCCGAUGCCUCGUGCUCCAUACGUUAGAGAGAUCCUCCAAUCUGCAGUGGAGUACUUGAGGAAUGUCAUACCUUCAGUCGAGAGGUUGUUCCUCUACGAACAAAGGGGGGAAAAGCAAUAUACUGACGCUUUAAGAUCCCUUAUACAUGUGGGCCAAUGUUUAGUGAGUCUCACUAGUUUCAACCUUGAUGUUCCGACGAUGGAAAAGGAGAUCGACUUGUUGAAGUAUCGGUUAGAGCAUCUAGAGAGGGAUAAUACUGAACUGACCAAAGAGCUCAGCUUUACAGAGGAGGCUUUUCAGGAGGUGCAGGAGUCGAUUCUCCAUCGGGACGAAGAACUGCGGUAGGCCGAAAGACAGAUUGAGGUCAUCGAAUGACAAAAAUUCAGGAUCGAUAGGAAGGCUGAAGAUCUCGAAAGGUGGAUUAAAACCCUCGAAAGACAGAGGUCUGAGGCUGAGAGAGACUGUCGUCGGACCUGUGAUGACCUGGAGCAUCUGAGGAGGAAACUUGAAGUGAAAAGAGGUUCUCCUUGCCUUGAAACUCACUCUCGAAGUAGCCAUAGUGGUGGUCUGUCCAAGAGGGCCAGAAUCUUCGAAAGGACGAACCGUGGAGAGAGAACUCUUCGAGGAGACGGGUGCUCCGCUUCCAAGAGAGUUCAAGCCUCCUCAGAGCCGCUCUCUAGUUCAGGAGAUCGGAUUAGAGGUAGAGAUCCUGAAGAAGAGGUUGGAAGAGAGAAAGAUAAAUUAUAAACUUCUCUAGGGCAAAUUUAUAGAUCAAGGGAUUUUACUCAAAUACGCUGAAAGCAGGAGAAAGUAGCUGAAGAAGGAAGGGGCUAAGAUCAUAGCCCAAGCUUGCAAAGCGGCAUUCUUCAUGGGCUUCGAAAAGUGCAAGUCCAUUGUCCAGGUGCACCUUCCUCCUGACUUCAUCAAGCAUCUUCAAAUUGAUUGUCUGGAUGAAGAUUUACAGAUGGUGUCGUUGGAUAACUGAUCGAGAUUUAUGAUGACAUCUUACUUUUCGAAUGAGGUGGACAAGAUCGAUGUAGCCAUUUAGACCGAAGGCAUCGUUGAUGUUGAGAAAUACCAUCCCUCAGACGACCGCCCCGAUAAUCCCCCUGAGGAGUGAUUAUGUCCUCUUCUUUUUUUAUUCUCUGUGAUCCGAGGCACCUGGUCUCGUAAUAGAAUCUUUAUAAGAACAGAUGUAUUCUUCUUCUUUUGAUAAAUAUGAAUUACGCUUUUAAAUAUAUGAAUCAAAAUCUUUAACAUAUGCUCGGUCUCUGGCUAUAACUACAAAACUUGAUUAGAGUAAUAGCCUAGGCGAAUACUUAGCCUGUGUUGUGUUUUAAAUAAGGCAUGAAUCGAGCUGAAGUAAGGAUGAAAAUUCGAGCUGGCUCUAGCUGUAGUUAGAAUUGUAAGUGUACUAAAGAUUAUAAUUCUCAUUCUGAUCCGGGACAAAAUUCCAUACCUGUCAUACAGAUUUUGAAAAGACUUGAAUUUGAAUUGCAUUCGCAUGGGAGGAAUUUGGCGCACGUCUGCACACAUUCCUUCGAAAAUGACGUAAAGUAUGAUUCGCCUGUCAUUGGUAUUAACUACCGUAUCGACAACAGCAAUCACAUCCAUUCGCAGUUUUCACGUGUCGUGCAUAUGUUAGUCUUCUGUCCAUGCACGUCUUCUGCAAUUAAUGCGUCGAUGGGAGGCAGCUUUUGGAGGUCCCAUUAAAGUCUGAGGUUAUUUAAAAUUUUCAGAUAGAACGAGAUGCGGACCUUGUAGAGUUCUGAUUAUUUUCUCCUUCUACUGUGAAUUCCUUUCUUCAUCCUUUCAUGGCUUUCCUGCAAGAGAGAGAGAUGGCCACUAGGGAGCCUGACUUUGCGCCGUUGGGCUUCAGAUCAGAGUUGAUAGAGCGGGACAUAAUCGUGCCGCAUGAGCAAUAUCAAAUAUCUCCCGUGUUUCAACUUGAAGUCCCAAGGCCAAGUGAUCGAGUCUGCCAUCCGCCUUCAGGACGUAUGGGCUUCUACGAGGAGUGCUUCUGAGCUGGGCUGAGGCUUCAUCUCUAUCCCUUUUUUGUGGCACUCCUUCCAACACUUUGAAAUAUCGUCAUGUACGAUGGUGCCGAAUGCAUAGCGGUAUAUCUGCGGCUUCACCACGGUAUGCGUGCUAGCUGGGGUUGUGUCAAAUAUCACAUUCUUUCAUUUUCUCUUCAAUCUCAAGCGGCACCCAGACUCACGCGAGUGGUGGUACGUGACUCCGUGGAAGAAGAAGGGUGGCUUCCUCUUGGCAUUUUCGAGUGUGCCUUCCACCGUGCAUAGUUGAAAGCCAAGAUUUCUCUUUGUCUUGCAGACGUCAGGCGAAGAUUAAAAUUUUACUAUCUAGGGCAAACCUCGAGAGGCUACGCUAAAGGAACUUUCGACGAACAACAGCCUAAAGCAGGAGAUGGCAGCUCUGCAGAGCUUCAGGGUCUCAGAGUUAAAAGAGCUGCUGUCGGCUCAGAUGCUAUUUAAUGUCGAUAUCAGUCAAGUCACUCCUCAAGGUAUGUGAGCCUGCUAUUCUAGUUUUAAAUCCUCUGAUUUUGUUCGUCUUACAAUUUGAUCACCAUAAUCGCAGAACUGGAUGCUGGAAAGAGGUCAAGCUCGCCAGAAAAGGAGAAAAAAAUCCUACGAAAAAGAUGUGCCAAGCCUGCCAGAAUCAAAGAUCCCGCACAAUCGACUUCGGAGACCAGGAAGCCUGAACCUUCUCAGCCAGAAGACCAUGAGAUUACGCGGAUGAAAAGCGGCUUGCCUACCACUUCAGCUACUGCAGGCUGCUAGGUCAAUCAUGCAGACCAAGGUCUAAAGGAGGUGAUUCUGAGCCUAUCUGCUCCUCUCAGCUCACCAAUCCGACCAGCUUCAUCCCCUAUCGAAUCCUCUUCUGAUGAGGCACCAGUCGAGAUUGCUGGUGCGUUUGGAAUUACGCCAGCUGAGCUGAAGCUUGAGACCUCAGCACUGAGGGAUCCCACACUAGCGAGCGAGCUACUCUCCAGACCGCUCCUCCCUGUCGAAGUGAACGAGCUGCUGAGUAUUCUUCGGAGGGAGAUGAGGAGAGGAGCCAUAGAUUGCCUCAUCCAGGUAUGUUGGAGCUUUCCUAUUUAGCACUUACUGUAUACUCAUUUAUCACUAAUGAAUUUUUUUUCACUUACUAGCUCACCUAUUACUUGAAUAGGUAUAUUGAAAGCUCCCAUGAGCUGGCCAAAGAGGCGAAGAAGUCUGGGCUCGAAGUUGAGAUGCUCAAAAGAGCAAAAAAGAAGGUCGAGAAGAAGGUUGGAGAAGUCUCUAAUAAAAGUCGAUGCCGAAAGGAGAGCCAAAGAUGUUGAGGCGAUAUUGAGGAAGGCUGUUGAGGAGAAUUCUCGACUGCAGGACAAGGCAGCGGAGUUCCCAUGAGCUGGCCAAAGAGGCGAAGAAGUCUGGGCUCGAAGUUGAGAUGCUCAAAAGAGCAAAAAAGAAGUUCGAGAAGAAGGUUGGAGAAGUUUCUAUAAAAGUCGAUGCCGAAAGGAGAGCCAAAGAUGUUGAGGCGAUAUUGAGGAAGGCUGUUGAGGAGAAUUCUCGACUGCAGGACAAGGCAGCGGAGUUCGAAACUCAGGCGAAGAGGAACGCGGCUGCUAACGAGGAGAACUCUCGCUUGCAGAAGGAAAUAAGAGAGCUGAAGGCCCGACUGGGGGUUGAGAAGAAGCAAACAGUUGAGGCUGCUUCUAAGGAUGUGGAGGACUUUCGGGCCUCAGAAGAAUAUGAGAAAGAAAGAGCUAAAUAUUCCGCCGAUGCCUAUGAUGCUUAAAGGCAGUCUAUCUGAGCUCGAGUUGCUACCAAAUAUCUGGAUUUAGAUUUAAAUUUCUUAGAUAAAAUCUGGGAUCCUACCGUGGUGGAUAUCUCAGCGGCCGGCACCUCAGCUUCAGACACCGUCCUGUGAUUUCUGUAUUUCUCUUUUUCAUGCUUUAGGAUCAUUGUAAGAAAAUUUUGAAAGAAAUAAGAUAAGUAGAAUCUUUUUUGUCAUUCUUCUGCUAUGUGAACUUACUUAUACCGAUCUGAGCAAAUUUAAUUGAACGAUAAUCUCAUUCUGCUCCCUUAACUGCAAACGAUUAUGAAAAAUGAUGAUCGAUGACUCACCUGAUAAAGCCAUGCCUAGGAGACGAUAUGGGGCCUAUGAAGAUGUGCCACGUAGGCAUACUCUAUUUUGCGAAGCAUCGUAGGGAUUUAUUCCCACUCUGGAGAAAAUACGUCAUUAACUGCUUGGCCAUUAACUCCUGAAAAGCGUCGAUUGGUGAUUGAUGUGGCUGCUAACACUUAUAAAUAGAAAAUUAGAGAGCAAAAGGAUCUCUACCUCUCCUUCUAUGGCAAGAAGUCUCCUUCUUCGUCUGUUGCCAUAUCGUUGCCUUCGAACCUGCCACCUUUGGAGUUAAUUAAGCAAUGGGUGAGAGAGUAGAAUGCCGUUGCAAGGGAUGCCCAUCGGAGGUAUUUAGCCUGUGAAAGGGAGAGAGCUAGGCGGGCCGACACAUCUUCUUCUCAUGGGAUCUCCCCUUCUAUGCUCGUUGUGAUCAAGCUCCCCCCUCAGCUUGAGCACAUUCCACCUGCAAUUCAAGAGCGCUGCAUUACAGAGUUUCAGGAUACUGUGGCAUUCAGGAGGAAAAUGCUCGAUGUCACCGCCACCACCUUCAUCAAGGGCUUUGAUGAUUGUAAGGUCCGUCUGCUGAGGAUAAUGUCGUAUCUAGAACUUCACGAUAUAUAGGCUGGCGAUACCGAUGAAGAGGUGAAGAUCUCGAUGGAUGAAGAUUGAAUCAGCUCAUCCAGACAGUGAGGAGGCGAAGUCCUUGAUGGACAAAGAUCGAACCAGCUCACCUGACUGGUCUAACGCUCCGUCGAUUGCAGCGGGACAUCUCUCCUCAUCUUCUUCUUACCUUUCUUGUUUUCUUCUCUUGUUCGUAAGAUGGUGCCUGGAGCAACCGUCUUCUCUUUAUAAGGUGUUCGAAAUAUCAGCUUUUUCUUUGUAAAGUACCUAGAGCACUGGCUUUUUCUUUGUAAAGACUUUAAUGAAUAAAAAAGAAUACUUUAUUUUAGAAGUCUUUGCUUUGAUUCCAACUUUAAAUUUGUAUCUAUGAAUUUUGCUCGACUCGUAAAGAACAGCAUAAGUAGAUGCUUGGAUCAGUGUAAGGAAAUGCUUACUGCUCAGCUCGACACAAGUAAGGAUCCAAAUAGCUCAGAUCAGCAUGAGAAAAUGCUCAAUACUCAGCUCGACAUAAGGAUCCAAAUUGCUCAAAUCAGCAUAAGAAAAUGCUCAGUGCUCAGCUCAGCACAAGUAAGGUUCUAACUAGCUCAGCUUCAGCACAAAUAUAUUUAGGACAACCUCGAUUGAAGUGAAUUUAGUUUGGAAUAACUUGAAUAUAGUCCAGCCAUCCAUGGAUCUUAGAGUAGUUUGGAACAACUUGAAUAUAGUCCGACCGUCCAUGGAGCUUAGAGCAGUUUGGAGCAACUUGAAUAUAGUCCAACCGUCUAUGGAUCUUAGAGCAAUUUGGAAUAACUUGAAUAUAGUCCGACUGUCCAUAGAUCUGAGGCAUCAUAAUAAUCAUCUCACCACUAUCCUCCUACUCCUGAGUCUGAGAUAAUGCCUCAGGCGGAAGGAGUACUGUUGAAAUAAUACCUCUAGCCAUAUGUUGUCCAUCUUUUUAUUCUUCUUCUGAAGAGGCAGUGUAUACCGAUGGUGAUCUUGUAUCUAAGGUAUUUAGCAUUUCUCGUCUUCAUGCGAGAGAGUGUGUGCCAGCGACGAGCUUGUGCCUAUAGCAUCUUGCACUCUCGGCAGCGUUCCGAGAGUUUGAUUAGUUAUUUCUCACGAGUGACAUUGUGUGUCUGUGGCAAUCUUGUGCCUACAGCAUUUAGCACUUCUCGUCUUCGCAUGAGAGAUAAUGUGUGUCAGCGACAAGCUUGUGCCUACGGCAUCUUGCACUCUCGAUGGCGUUCUGAGGGUCUGAUUAGUUAUCCCUUCAGAGGUUUCCUCAAGGAUCUCCCUCCACUUCUCGUGCGACUCAGGCUCUGCAGAGGUCUGGUAAGUUAGCCCCAUUUCAGAGUCGUCGAGAUCUUCUCAAGGGUUUGGUAAGUUAGCCCUCACAUUAGUUGACCGUAGUUAUAGUUCAGGAUCUUAAGUAGCAGGAGGCAACUCUUGAAGGACUCGAACGCCCAUCGCAAAUUAAUGGGUCUGUAAAUUUUAUUUUCAUGAAAAGUAUUGUUACAUCAUCGAUAAUAUAUGCGGAGGUUUGUCGAGUUCUAUGGCUUGAAAAUUAGAGUCCCAUCAAGCUAUUUUAGCCUAUAAGUUUCUGGGUGUACCACUUCAUCCACUUGGUAAGGAUCUUCCCAGUUGAGAGAUAGCUUUUCCUGUUCGAUAGACUGUGAGAUUUUGGCUUGCCGUAGCACCUGAUCACCAGCUUGGAACUCUUUUGGCUUAACUCGGGAGUUGUAAUAUUUGGCCACUCACGAGCAGUAGGAAACCAUUCUAACAACAGUGCGUUCCCUACUCUCAUCAAUCAGAUGGCACAGGUCCACAUCGAACUGGUGUCCUCAUUAUAUUCCUUGACCUUAAGAGAAAGACGUCCAAACUCCACAGGAAUAACUGCCUCAGUCCCGAAAGCCAAGUUAAAAGGUGUUUCACCAGUUGGAAGCCUCUGAGUGGUCCAGGAUAGCUCGAGCCUUUUGCUUUACCGAUCGACAGGUUGGGUCCACCCUUAGGUGAUGGGAUAUCACCUCAGAAUUGGUGUCGAGUAUGUCUGCAGCAGAUCAGACAAAAAGAUCCGCAUUCUCCUGUAAAAAAUUAAUUAGUCGAUAUUUGGUUACCUCAUCUAGAUGUGAGUCGAUUUUCACCGUCUGGCUUGGAUUCUCCUUCCUUAAUGGGAUAUCUAAAAGAUCCUCGGUUGGUUGGGGGCAUCUGUCAAUUGGGUCCUCCCUAGCACCCAACCCUAUCGGGACCUCGGGCUGGAUCUCUAUCGGGGCCAGCUGAUUCUCUGCUCUCAACUUGGCGGCAAAGCAUUCACGAGCCAUGGCUUAGUUCCCUCGGAUUUACCUUACUCCAUAUUUGGUCAGAAACUUUACCAUCAAAUGAUAGCUUGAGAUGACAGCUUUUAAAGUCCACAGGCUAGGAUGGCUGAGGAUGGUGUCAUAAGUCAAGGGUAGCUUGACCAUCAGGAAGUUAACUUGAAUUGCAUUCGCUUAGGUGGGAUUCUCACAGUGAGAGGUAACUUAAUCAUUCCCUCCGAGGUCACAGAACUCUCGAAGAAAUCCUGAAUUAAGAUAUCGAACUACUUAACUGGCUAGGUGUAAACCCUAUUUGGGUGAAAAUGGAAAAAUACAAAAUGUCUACCGAGCUUCCAUUAUCUAUAAAGACAUGGUAUAUAUUAAAAUCAGCGAUGUUCGUUGUUUCAACCAUCGCAUCAUUAUGUGGGGCGAGCACACCCUCUGCAUCACGUUUGGUGAAGGUGAUGACCUCCUCCAGCCCCUCCAGUAAUCAUAUGGAUUUUUUCUCGGAUGGAUCGCUCUUCUUCCGCCACUUGCUCUCCGACCUCCUGCCGCUCCUGUCACGCUGGCACUUGCUGCAGCUGAGGUAGAAGGAGAUGCUAUUGAGGCAAAGGGGAUGGUUGUUGAACCCUCAGAGCUUGAUGUGGAAGGACCGCUCUCCAUACAAAAUGAUUCAGCCAUCCCUACUUGACAAGCCUCUCGAUCUCGGUGCGAAGCUGGUGGCAGUCUUCAGUAUCGUGAUCAUAGUCACGAUGGUAAAAGCAGUAUUUAUUCGGAUCUCGACAGCAUUCCGAUCUUGUUCUCAUCAGUCGAGGCUCAGGUAACUCAGAUCUCACUUGUAACAACAUCUCGCUCCGAAGAACAGUCAGGGGUGUGUGGUUAUUGUACUGCCUAGGAGGUGAUGGUCAUCGAAUCCUUCUCGGAGGACUUCGGGAUUGAUAAUUUUGACCCCCAUCAUUCCACCUUUAGGGCAGAGAUCGAGAGCAUUGGUGGCUUUUCUCCUCUCAUCUUGGAUGGCGCUCUUUCCUGGGUCCCGCCAUGGCUGAAUCGGCAUGAGUAUCUUUGGCAAAGGUCUCUUCCAUACGGACAUACUUCUCCGCAUGGACAAACAUAUCUGAGAGAUCUUGAAGAUAAGUCUUUGUUAAUAAUUUUUUCAAGUCCUUCAGCAGACCACUCAUCAUCGCGGCUAUCACGGUCAACUGGUCUAGGUUUUAGAUCUCCAGGAUCACCACAUUAAAUCUAUUCAUGAAAGAGUGGAUCGACUCGCCCUUCUUUUGCUUGAUGGUAUGGAGGUAGUCGAAUCGCUUUUGCUGUUGCUGGCUGCUGAUGAAAUGGCCAAUGAAAGAUCGACACAAGUCUUCAAAGGAAUGGAUAAAUGUCGGCCUCAAACUUGAGUACCACUGUCGAGCAGUCCCCUUAAGGAUUGGAGGAAAUACUCGAUAGAGGAUUGCAUCUGAUACUUCCUGAAGGAGUAUGGCUGCCUUGAAGGUCUCCACAUGAUCGAUGGGGUCGAUGGUUUCGUCAUAAAUCUUCAGCUAAGGCAGUUUGAAGUACAGGAGGAGUGGUUCCUGCACAAUCCUCGGGGCGAAGGGCGGCUGGCUAUUAUACCCUUCGUAAGACAGCACCAAGGAGUCAUUAUUAUUGAGGACCUUUUCUAUUUUGUAGUCCAACUGUUAAUCAAGCUCUUGGAACCGCCUUUCAAAAUUAACUUCAUAGACGGUACCAGCCUCAGAGCGCAGAGGAGAUUAGCAUUUGGGGGUUGAGUCAUGGCCCAAUUGUGGGCUUAGAGAUCACCAUCUGGCUAGCUGCUAGGCCCUAGGGUAACUUUGAUAAGUCAACCUCUCCAGACUUAAAGAAGCCACCUGCGGCUCUGGUUGAAGUGGUGGCUACAGAGCCGUAAUCAAAGCAGGAUUCUGCAGGGGGCCCACUGUGGAAGGCACAGGCAGCACUACCGAGAAAACUGUAUGAUGCAUCAUUGUAGGAGGUGUAAGGACAGUCUGGGGAGGCUGUGGCGUGGCCUGAAAUGGCAUAAGAAAGGUUUGGACUGCUUGGAUUGUGGUCGUCAGAUGUUGAACUUACUGGAAGAGCUGAUCGAAUUGGUCAGCCGUGGCAGGCACCUGCUGAGUUGAUUGAAUCGAUGGAGGGAUGAUCGAUUGAGCCAACAGAAGGAUUUCUAGCACCAGUGGUUGAACUUGAUUGUCAAUCUGGCUAGCCGCCUAUCGAAAAGCGAUGGCAUUGGAAAGCUAGAAAGAUGUCCGUCUUUAAGCUAUGAAUGCAAAUAUGGACCCUUUCUCUAUCUGUUGCUGCUUAAAUCGAUCGAGGUCGGAAGAUGGACGUCUGGUCCUCGUGCCGGGAUGUUGACGCUGGAGUGACCUACAAGAUAAGUUCCAAACCGGAGGUGGUGGCUCUAACGAGAACCCUCCGAUGCUCAAAUUAGAAGAGCAGAGACAAAAGAGUAGCAACGGAUUCUCUAAGAAAAAUUUGAUUGGACUUACCUGGAUCUUCGGGGCUUCGAUUGUUUAUAUAGAAAGAUGUCAGACAGCUGGGUUAUUAGCUGUGAGAUUGUAUGAUCCCGAGAUUACUUGAUCGUUGGACAUGUCAAACUGCGCAAGAUAAUUCAGCCUUUAAUCUCUCCCACGAGAUCAGGGGAGAUAGUUACGUCAGAUCCUAUCUAUUCGGGAUGGAUAGCCAUCACGCAUGUUGAAGAGAUAAGUCAGCUGAGAUGAUGUGGGCAGCUCAUACACAGGUUAGACCUCAUGAACACUUCAGCUCAGCAUGUCCGUCUUUGAGCUAUGAAUACAAAUGUGGACCCUUCCUCUAUUUGUUGCUGCUUAAAUCGAUUGAGGUUGGAAGAUGAGUGCCUGGUCCUCGUGCAAGAAUGCUGGCACUAGAGUGAUCUACAAGACAAGUCUCCAACCAGAGCCAUCUUUGUCUUGAAGGUCACUCCAGUGCGAGCAUCCCUGCAUGAGGACCAGGCGUCCCCUUCCGACCUCGAUCGAUUUAAGCAACAACAGUAAUACUUAGUGAUCCUCUGCUUGUAGGUUACCAUUCUGAUAUGGGCUUGUUCUCUCACUUCAUCAAGAAGAUCCAGGUCGAUCCUCAAUGGGUCAGAAUUGGUUGUGUCGUGAAAAUUUCUGACUCUAUCGGAUAAUAGGUUAAUUUCAACUGAAAUCACAACUUCAGUCCCAUAGGUGAGCCUAAAAAGAGUUUCUCCUAUAGGAAUCCGAUAUGUGGUUCGGUAUGCUCACAGUACGCUCUGCAACUCUUCAGCCCACAACCCUUUUGCAUCGGUGAGCCUUGUCUUCAAACUUUGAAGGAUAGUUCUAUUGGUUACUUAAGCCUCACUAUUUGACUAUGACUGUCCGAUAGAAGUGAGUCGGUGAUCAAUAUAAAAUUUGGAGCAAAAUUUUUUGAACUUGAAAUCAUCAAAUUAUCGAUCAUUGUCGGUGAUGAUGAUCCGAGGUAAACCAAAUCGGCAUAUUAUGAAUAUUCAGAUAAAAUUUUGCAUCUUUUUCUCUAUGAUUUGGGCUAAAAGUUCUGUCUCUAUCCAUUUUGUGAAAUAAUCAAUGGCUACCAUCAUAAAUUUUUUUUGACCCACUGCUAUCGGGAAAGGCCCUAGUAUUUCCAUCUCUCAAAUUGUAAAGGGCCAAGGGAUGGUAAUAGAAAUAAGCUCAGCAGCAGGUUGAUGUUGGAUAUUAGCGUACCUUUGACAUUGGUCACACUUGUUGACAAGAUCAGCUACAUCUUUUUGAAUAGUUGGCUAGUAGUAAUCUUGUCAAAUUACUUUAUAAGCAAAUAACUUAUCCCCCAGAUGGUUUCCACAUAUCUCUUCAUAUACUUCUCGAAAUGUGUAGUCAGCUUCAUAUGGUGUCAAGCAUCGAAGUAGAGGAAGAGAGUAAAAUUUUUUAUAUAAGUGACCUUCUUGAAGAACAUAUCAUAGAGCUUGUCUUUUAAUACUUCUAACCUUGGUUAGAUCAUUAGGCAGAACUCUUUUAGAUAUAUAAUCUAUGAGGGGAUCAAUCCAACUCGGCUCACGACCGACCUUAAAUAUGGAGAGCACUUCAAUAUUUGGCUUAUCCAACUGUUCAAUCAGUACCUUUUGAUUUAGUUUGAAAAAAUUUGAAAUGGUGAGGUGCGACAGAGCGUCGGUCCGGGCAUUUUUCGAUUUAGAAAUUUAGAGCACUUCAAACUCUUCAAAAUUUUCAGACAGUUUUUUGAUAUUUUACAAGUAACGAGCCAUCGUGAAAUCUUUGGCUUUAAAUUAACCUCGGACUUGGCCAACGACGAGUUGUGAAUCUAUAAAAGUUUUUAAUUUUCUGACUCUGAGCUCUUUUGUCAUCAUGAGAUCCGUCGUUAGGGCUUCAUAUUCAGCACCAUAAUUAGAAGUGUUAAAAUUAAACCUCAGGGCCUGCUCAGUUACAAAUCCUUCAAGACUAAUCAGAAUCAAACCGGCACUACUUUCUUGAGAAUUUGAGGCUUCAUCCACAUGUAGAAUCCAGAAUGAAUCAUCACUCUUAGGACUUGCUGGGAUCGACCCAUCAUCUGAGACAGUGCAUUCUGUAACAAAAUUAGUUAGUACCUGAUCUUUAACUAUAGUUUGAGAUCGAUAGUAGAUAUCAAAUUCAUCAAGUUCAAUAGUCUAUUUGACAAUCCGAUCUGAAGUAUCAACUCCUUGUAAUAUCGAUCCGAGUGGCUGGUUCGUCAAUACUGCAAUAGUAUGAGAUUGGAAGUAAGGCCUACGUCUUCGGACUAUCAUGAUCAAAGCAUAUAUCAUCUUUUUGGUCUUUUUGUAUCCAAUCUCCGCAUCUCGUAAUAAUUUGCUGGUGUAGUAGAUAGGUCUUUGAGUAUCCAUUUCUUUCUGGAUAAGAAUCGAGCUGACUGUAUAAGGUGAAACUAAAAUAUACAUGUAUAGUUCUUCACCUUCAACUGGCUUAGAAAAAAGAGAUGAAGAGCCAAAAUAUUUUUUAAGAUCCUCAAAAGUAGUCUAGCAUUCUUCUGUCCAGCUAAAAUUUUUGAUAUUUUUUAAUAUUUUGAAGAAAGGAAGGCAUCUAUCUGCUGACCUAGAAACAAAUCGACUGAGGACUGCCACUCAUCCGGUGAGUUGCUGGAUUUCUUUGAUAGAGGUCGGAUAUUUUAUUUUCAAUAAUACUAAUCUUUUUAUGGUUAGCUUCUAUUCCUCUUUGAUUAAUGAGAAAGUCAAAAAACUUACUUGAGCAACUCCAAAGGCAUAUUUCUUAGGAUUGAGCUUCACAUGGUGUCUCAUAAGUUCUCCAAAUGCCUCUUUCAAGUCGGUAAUAUGCCGAUCUUCUUCGAUGCUCUUCACUAUCAUGUCAUCAACACAGACCUCCAUAUUUCAGUCAAUUUGUUACUUGAAGACUUUGUUGACGAGGUAUUGGAAUGUAGCACCUAUAUUUUUAAGACCAAAAGGCAUCAUUUUGUAAUAAUACAAAUAUCUUUUGGUGAUAAAGAUAGUAUAUUUUAUCAUCUUCUGGAGUCAUUUGGAUUUGAUUAUAGUCUAAGAAAAUAUCCAUAAAACUGAGGAGCUUGUGAGCAGAGAUAGCAUCUACAAGUUGAUCAAUUCUCGACAGAGAAAAACUGUCCUUCGGACAAGUUUUAUUAAAAUCUUUAUAGUCGAUGUAUAUCCUCCAUUUGCUAUUAGUCUUUUUGACCAUAACAACAUUGGCUAUCUAUUUUAAGGAGUGAGCUUUCCUAAUGAAUCUUGUUUUUAAAAAUUUGUCAACUUUCUCAUCAAUGACUUUUUGUCUUUUCGGGGCGAAACUUCUUUUCUUCUACUGAACCGAUUUGAAAUUUGAAUCUACAUUUAGUUUAUGAACAAUCAUAUCGGUAGGAAUGCCAGGCAUAUCAGAGGCUGACCAAGCAAAGACAUCUGCAUUUACUCGCUAAAACUUGAUCAUUUUUUCUCUCAUACCAGACUUGAGGUUUACACCAAUUUGGACCAUUUUUUUUGGAUCAUCUCCCAAAGGAAUAGCUUCAAGCCUUUCUAUCAGUUCACCUUGGAUUUUUUUGACCUCAUCUAAUGCAUCCAGUAUAUCAACGGACAUAAUGUUUGUCGGUUGAUUUAUUUUAGUAGAAAUCGUAAAACACUGUCGAGCCACCGUUUGGUCGCCAUGCAUUUCAUCAACUCCUAUAGUCAGAAAAUGCACCAACAGAUGGUAAGUAAAGACAAUGGCCUUGAGGGCAUUGAGAUCAAAUCGAUCGAGGAUAGCAUUAUAAGUAGAUGAAACUCUGACUACUAAAAAAAUGAGCUAUAUGGUUGACUGCUUUGGUUCAUAUCCUGUUAUAACCGGUAAAGUAAUUUCUCCCUCAACCGCUAUCAGAUUUUCUGAGAAUCCGAUGAGGGAAGUGCUAAUCCGUCUGAGUUAUCCAAUCAGAUUCAUUUUUGAGAAAGUAUUAUAGAACAAUAUGUCGGCUGAGCUUCCAUUAUAAACAAGGACUCUUUUUAUAUCAUAUUUUGCUAUCGUCAUAGAAACGAUGAUAGCAUCAUUAUGAGGGAUUUGGAUCUCUUUUACAUUAUUUUUAGAAAAAAAAUAACAUCUUCGAUUCUCUACCUCUUGGGGGAUGGGUCAUCAAUAUCAGAUAGGAUGUCGGACAUCAUAUUGAUAACAUCAGUAGUUGAUCAGUUGUGAUCAUCAAAAGCUUCUUCUACUGGAGGCCUAUACUCUUCGAUUUUGGCCGGUCUGAUAUAUUUACUGAGAUAACCUCGGCGCACCAAGGUUUCUAUCUCUUCUCGUAGCUGUCUGCACUCCUCGAUGUCAUGACUAUGAUCUCUAUGGAAGCGGCAGUGCUUCCAUUUGUCUCUUUUCUCUGAAGGAGCCUUUAAAGGAUCAGGUCUUCGAAGAUAUCUCUUUCCUUCGAUUUCCAUCAGAAUCUGAGCUCGAGGAGCGAUCAGGGGAGCAUAAGAAUUAAAAUGCCGAGGUGGGCUUCUUAACCUCGAAUUUUUUUGGGACCAAUUUGAAUUUUUAGUCUGCUCAUCAUUCUCCCUCGACUAUUUUUUUAUUUUUAUCCUUUUUUGUUUGCUUUAAGAUGCCUCCUCCUCAGCCUGGACAUACUUACACACCCGAUCGAGACGAUGAGGUAUCUGAAAAGUUCUUGUUUAAAAAGAAAAUCAGACGGUUGCUUCGGAGUCCCCUUUUCAAAGUAGAUAUAAUAACUGAUUCAUUAAAAUUUUCACCUCCAGGGUGGCCGCAUUGAAAUGAGUUACGUACUUUCAGAGAUCUUCUCGUUCUUGCUGCUGAACAGAGAAAAGACUAUCCAUGUGCCUCAAAUGAGAUCUGUUAGUGCCAAAAUAAGUGACGAGCAGUCUCCCAAGCUGCUUAAAAGAAGAGAUGGACCCUUGCGUGAGUCCAGAAAAUCAAACCCUCACUGUCUUCUUGAGGGUUGCAGUAAAAGCAAUGCACAAUAGGACAUCGGAGGCUCCUUGUAAAGUCAUAAGGGCUCUAUAACCCUCGAUAUGAUCCAUUGGAUCAGAAGAGCCAUCAAAAGAUUCGAUGGUAGGCAUCUUAAAUCGAUUUGAAAUGGGUUCACUUAAGAUUUUAUGAGAAAAAGGAGAUCGGAGAUUGAAACUAUCUUUAUUCUAAGAUCGACCUCCUAUCUGGAGCUCCAUCAAAUACUUUUCAAGAUCCAAGACCUUGUGCUCCAGGUCAUCCUCUUUUUGAACUUUUAAAGAACUGGAGGCAAAUUCACUGUCAGCCUUAUCAAUGUGAUGUUCAUCUUGAUGGGCUGGUUGAGGGCUAUGCUGAGACAAAGCAUUUGAGGGAGGAACUUCUUUAGACGGUUGUUCCUUCUUUUGAAGUUGUUGAACAGCUGCUAUCAGAGUUUGGACUUGUUGAACAAGGUGGCACUCAGGUGCUCCUUCUGGAGCAAAAGGAGAGGGAUGCUGAGCUCGUACUUUGACCAUCUUUUCCAUAAAAGAAAUCAGAGAACCUUUCCUCUAGCGCCAAUCUAUUGCUACAGGGCUCGAAAUCUGGAGUAGAGUGGAUCGACUUGGGUGAGAUUGAGCUAGAGCAAUCCUUGUGAUUUGGCAAAAACUCCUUCAAUCUAUAAAAUCAAUUAAGAAACCGAAUGAAAAUCCUUCGGUUCCUGACCCUCCGAUGCUUAAGUUAAUUUGAGCCUUGAAAACAGAGGUGGAAAAGAGUGAAAAAAUAAGAGAAAUUGAAUGAAACCGAAGGAAAACUAGGUAGGAGCCAAGGGUCUGGCUUAAUUUCCUACUGACAUAAUUUUUUUUAAUUUUCAAGAGUAGAACUUACCGACGGAGGAUUUCUGGCUUUCUAUUUGUAGAGGGACUGAGAAGAUCAUUACAGAGUUUGUUAGGCCGUUAGAGGAGUUUGUUAGGUGGUUAGAGAGCCACUUGUAAGUGAGUUAACAUAUAGCUGUACAUAUGAGCUGGAUAUGAGAUUGUGGCCAGCUGUGGUCGGGUUGAGGAAGUCAUCGUGAGUGUUUUGCAUAACAGUUAAGUCCGUCACAAUAAUAACUCACCUCAGUAGAUGAUCGGAGUAAAAUAGAGAUGCCAUAAUAUUCAUCCCAGAUAAAAAAGGUAUCAGGGUUCAGGUCGGUAGAUAUCCGAUCUGAAUAUUUUUUUGUCAGUUGAGACGUCGUCCGGAUAGAAUAUAAAGAUGUCUUUUAUUCAGAUCGAUAAAAUACCGAACUGAAUCUGUCAACAGAUAAAUUGGUAUGCUGAGAUUUGAUGCUUUAAGAUUGAUAUCUUUUUGACUCGUAUGAUGAUGUCACAUAUCUCGAAACUGGUUUAAUGCACCAAUAGAUUACAUAGAUUGAUAUUAUGUCUUGGCACAACUUAAAAAUAUGAUGAUGUUUUGAGCAUCGGUACAUGUUCUUUCUAGCUUUGGCAGCUUCAUUUCCAGUGACCAGCAACCAAAAUCCCCCAUGCUUCUCACCGUCAGAGAUUCUGCAGAAGAUAGCCAUUUGAUAAUUAUUUUGGCUCCAUCCCUUUUCAUUGUCUUACCAUAUUAACCAGGAGACCUGCUUCUUCCUCUGAAAGGGCUUUGGCUUUGAGUCGGCAAACACGAGUCUGUACCUUCUCCCUCUUGCAAUGUUUGUAUUUUAACUCAGGGCGUAGUUUGUAAAGGGAAUGCAUUUUGCCCCUCAUCAUUUAAUAACACGAGGAUAAGUUACAACAAAGAUAUGUUAGGUGGUUGAAACCACUCUACUAGAUAAUGCUUGAAUAGGAAGUGCGCUUGGAUUUGUUUGUGGAUAUAUAUAUAUAUAUACUGGAAUCAACAAAUGCCUUUGCUCUUAAGCCGUUUGGUGAUAAAUGGACAGUUACUUAUUAUAUUAUUAUGCUAGAACUGUAUAUUGAUUAUAUCUUAUUAUGCUAGAACGGUAUUAUAUUAAACUCAUAAAUAUAUAAUAUGAUAUAGUAUCGUACUAUUAUAUAUAACUUAUUUUGCAUUGAAAACUACAUAUAUAAUAUGGCAUUGUUAUACUAUUAUACAUAAAAUAUAUAUACUAUCAAAUAUUAUAGUAUGCUCCUGGACAAAAUAAUAUAGCAUAAUGUAUGAAAAUAUUAUGAGGUCAUAAUAUUAUAGAAAAAUUCAAUUAUCAAUAUUGUAUAUUAAAAAAAAUAUUAGAACUUUGUGAGCGGCAUUUGUGUUUAACUAAAAAUAAUAGGGAUAUAAACCCUGCAGAUGAUUCUGCUUCCAAGUUGUACCAUGUGUUCCAGGCGUAGCGGCUAUGCAACAGUCCUGACCCAUGCCCAUUCAGUAGAUCACCAAAUAGCAAUGAGUUUAAUUUGCCAUCCACCCUAACUUGAAGAGAAUUCUAUAUAAUUAAGGGGUAUUUGGUUGGGAAGAGUAUGGGUCUGGAAUCAGAAUCGAAAUGGAUGACUCCUAUUCCAAUCAUUUGGUUGGAAGGAGUCCCAUUCCGAUUCCGGAAUGGAAUGGGAAUGGCUUAAUCUAUAUAGAACUCAAUCCCUACUCUCUUCUAUGGAUUCAAUUUUUCAUUCUGAUUCUGAUUUUGAUUUCUAUCACGAACCAAAUAUUUCGGGGGAUUUGGCCAUUCUGAUUUUCAUUCCUAUUCUGAUUUCGGUUGCGAACCAAACACCCCCUUAAUAUUAACUCUGAUGGUAUCAUACAGGAGAAAAAUACUUGUGGUGGAGCGGCCUUUAUCAUCAGGAGUGCUAGCGAUGUUUUAUUGGUUUAGAUAGUGUCGGGAUUUUUAACACCAAGGGGAUGUUUAGUUUGCAACCAAAAUCAGAAUAGAAAUGAAAAUCAGAAUGGCUUGAAAUCGGAAUUGGAAUGACCAAAUCCUUCGAAGCGUCUGAUUCGUGACCGAAAUCAGAAUCGAAAUUGGAAUGAAAAAUUGAAUCCAUAUAGGAGAGUAGGGAUUGAGUUCUAUAUAGAUUUGAGUCAUCUCCAUUCCACCCCGAAAUCGAAACCGGAAUGAGACUCCUCCCAACCAAACAGUUAGAACGAAAAUCAAUCGCUUCGAUUCUGAUUCUAGACCCCCCCCCCCCCAACCAAACACCUAAAAUUUAAAUGGCCCCAACCAAACAUCUCCUAAAAUUUAAAUGGCAGAACUGUGUGCGGCGUGGGAGAGGUUGACAUGCUCCCAUAUUUAUUUAAAAGGAAAAUUUUUUUGAUAGUUAUCAAAAAGCAUUUGUAUCCACGGUUUGGCAAUACGAAACUCCAUCCACUUUUACAGAACUAUUUACAGACGACGGGCAUGUUCCUCCAUAUUGAGAUUGCAUAUAUUUACAGGUGAUUGGAAACAUCUUACAUGGCCAAACAUAUUGGAUCUAUAUUAUGAGAUUUUUCAAUAAAUAUUCUAAUUUAAUUGUUAAAUAUUAUUUUUUAAUUCUCAUAAAUAUAUUUAUUCUCGAAAGAUUUAAUCCAUCCAAUUGACUGAAAAAAGGAAACAAAUAGAAUCCCAUACAGUUGGAAACCCAAAUGACCACGUUCGUUCUGGUUUCAAAAAAAAAAAAGAAGCACAUAACCCACUUAACCUUUUUUAAACCACAAUAAUGAAAAAUGAAUGGCUAACGCGGGAACGAUAUUCUACAUUUCAACCACUUAUAUACUGUCAGAUAUAAUGGUAUGCUCUUGUAUAUAACAAUAUAGCAUAAUGUUAUGAAAUAUUAUGACAUUAUAAUAUUAUAAAAAAUUGAAUUAUUAAUAUUAUAUAUUAAUAGAAAUAUUAGAACUUUGUGAGGAGCAAUUGUUUUUAACUAAAAAUAAUUGGGAUAUAGACCCUGAAGGUAGUUUUACUUCCAAGUUAUACCAUGUUUUCCAGGCAUGGCUAUACAUUAGUCCUGACCCAUGUCCAUUCAGUAGGUCACCCUGGAACAACAGCACUGACUUUAAGUUGCCACUCACCAUAACUUGAAGAGACUCCUACAUAAUUAAGGUUAACUUUGAUCAUAUCGUACAAGAGAGGUGCUUGGUGUCCGCAUUUCGAAAGCUACAGUUUAAAUGGCGGAAAUGCAUGUGGCAUGAGAGAGGUUGAUAUAGACAUUGAGGGCUUCCCUAUCCAUUUAGAGGGAGACUUUUUGACAGUUGUUAAACAGCUUUCAUAUCUACAUUUUGCCAAUACCAGACUCCAUCCACUUCUACAAAAUUAUUGAGAGAUGAUGGGCAUGUUGCUGUACAUUGAGAUUGCACAAAUUUAUAGGAAAGUUAAUAACACAAAUGACUGGAUAAUAUCUUAUAUGGCCAACCAUAUAGAAUCUAUAUAAUGGGAUUUUUCAAUGAAUAUUCUAGUUCAAUUGUUCAAUAUUUUAUUUUUUGAUUCUCAUGAAUGUACCUAUUCCCGAAAGAUUGAUUUCAUCCAAUUUACUAAGAAAAGAAAAAAAAAAAAGAAAUCCCCUAUGAUACGAAACCCAAAUAAUCACGUUCGUUCAGGUUUCUCAAAAAAAUAUAAAAAGAACCUGCAUAUAACUCACUAAAACCUUUUUCCAAACCACCAUAAAGAAGAAUGGAGGACUAUGGUGGAAAUAAUAUUCUACCUUUCGGCCACUUAUAACCCUUAUGAAACUAUUCAACCAAAAUUAUAGGAUAGAUUUAUCGAAACUAGUUCCUACAAUAUUUCUUGAAACUUAUCGCAUUAACCUAGAUAAAACUCUUCCCAAACAAACAGGGGAAACAUGUUUAAGAGGUAAGAAAUAAGAACUGCCUUUUCUUAAAUUCUCCUUGGAAAGCAUUCAUACCAAAUGGGUCUUACUCAACUGCUUGUGAACAUGGUAGUGCACUGCAAGAUAGACCACAUUGAGAAAUAAUUAUUCUUUCUUGUUCUCAAUAAGGAAAAGAAGGUCCAAUGUUUGUACUAUAAUAAUAAUACACUAUUUGCAGAAAGACACGACAAUAUUUAUAUCAAUAUGCAUUCCCCCCAAAAAGCAAUCACUGACAUAAAAUACACCUCCCCUCUAAAUUUGGGGUAGUAUUCACUAAAGCUGGCCGGUUUCCGGCAAGCACACACCUACCGAAAAGCCCUACACAAUUCUCUUUACAAGACGAACGUUUUGACUUCGAAAUGCUAGACACCAUUCUCUGUACAGUCACUGCCACAGAUCUUGGGCAUGACAGCAACGGGGACUGUAUGAAUACUACUAGCCAAAGAGCUACCAAACACAGCAUUCACAUUUCCAAUUUUUAAACCCAACCCUAAAAAAUUGCAGCGGCAAUUUUAUUCACAGUUCACCAAGAUCUUAGGGUGUAGAGUUCACCGAUAUCUCUUGUGCCACCGGUGGGCUUUGUGUGUCUUGAUGGGAAGGGAUGACAAGCCGCUGCAAGGACUUCAGAGCAGUUGUCAGUUGUGCAAAUGAGGGACGCAAGCUUGGGUCUCUGUUAACAAAAGCAAUUGAAGGCACUAGUAAGAACUAUAAACCAGACGAGCCAUUCCGUAAUUAGAGGUUAAAGUACCAAUAAUCUAUAUCAGGGCGUUAUCAAAAUGCAUCUAGAACUAGAUUGCCAAAGGCCAUUAUCCUAGGGCACGUUUAACAUCUCAACAUCUAGAAACAACUGAAUUGUUUUGAGCUAUUAGUGGUGAUCUGCACUCCUUAUCAUUUGUUCAUAUGGCAUUCUUAUCCACAACCUUGAUUCCAGUAAGAAUGCUCUGGUAUAUGAUUCCAAUAUUAGAUAGUAUCCUAACCACUUACGUCUGCCAGCAUUCCCAAAUAAUCCUUGCAACCAAAGGAUCAACUUCUUUUGGAAUAUCAAGCCGUCGCUCCUGGAAUCCAACAGCACCAACCACCUGCAUUGGGUUCAUCCCACUCCAUGGCAUCCUCAGCGUUGCAAGCUCCCAUAAGAUCACUCCAAAGCUAUAGACAUCACACCUGUACAAAUUUCAGAUUUGAUUUAUGAGAUGUGCAAAUUGUCAAAAUGGAUCAUUCCCUGUUCAAAAUAAUAGGAAGAAUCAUCUAUUCUACCAUAAAUCUACUAUGUUAAACGCCUAAAUUAAAUUUACAAGUAUAUUCCACACAAGUUAACAAAAUAUCGAAGACUUUUCUAAACAGAUACUUUCAAAAAUCCCAAAUUAUCAUUUGUUACGUAGACUGUGGAGUACCUCUGUUGGCACAAAGGUAGCUAUCCUUCACCAUUUAUUCAUAAAUCAUGAUUGUCAAAAGGAAUCUUUAAUUUCAUAAUAACCAAUGAAGUAGUUUUAUACUGCUUUGCACUACGUAAGCAUUUAUAAUGGACCAUAUAUAACUGUUACAUGCAUUACAAUAAUUGUAACAGUGGCACAUAAAUGUUAUACCAGCCAUUAGUAAUUAUACGCAUGUGUGUGUUAAUGUGUAUUUCAUUAGCCCAAACAGCAUUUAUAACAUUGUUAUAUAACCAUUGAACCCUAGGAUGUCACAUGUUAUAACAGCAGCAAGGGCUGUCUUGAAAGAGUAUACAAUGAUUUUUUAUCAGACAUACAUUGUCCUUUCGAACGUAUUAUAAAAUAUCAUCCUAUUACCAUGUCCGUAUGCAAUAUAGUAUGAGACGGUGAGGCAUACCAAGGGGCGGUAUGGUAUGAGACUAUUUACCGGCAUGGUACUGUAUGUCCAAUGCAGUACGGUAUCGUCCUUGAAUGAAUCUUUAAUUUUAUUUAGCCAAUGUAGUAGUUUCAGACUGCUUUGUACUAUGUAAGUGUUUUAAACAGUACCAUACAUGACCACUUGCAUUACAAUAAUUGCAACAGUGGUACAUUAAGGGUAUACCAACCAUUAAUGAUUACAUGCAUGUGUGUAUGCCCGCAUGUAUUUUUCAUUAGAAUAAAUAGCAUGUACUUUUCAUUAGAAUAAAUAGCAUUUCUUGCAUUGCUAUAUCACCAUCAUACCUAGCAUAGCACAUGUUAUAACAGUAGCAAAGCCUGUCUUAUGAAAGUAUAUCACAAUUUUUAAAUUAAAUAUACAUUGUUUGAUGAAACAUGUUAUAGAAGAUCAAAGGAUGUCCAUUUUAUGCAAUUAACAAUGUUAUAGAAAUCAUGGUGUCCCUUAACCUUCAGUCACUCCCAAAAUCCUCCAAACUCUCCAAUCUACAGCAUUGCAUCAGCAACACUAAUUGUGGCAAUGUUUAGAUAUCUAGAUAAUAUGCUACCACAGCAGCUCAAUCAACACUCACAAUGCAAUCAAGAGGAAGAACAUGAAUAUGGCAAAUUCCCAGCUUCAUUGCCAAGAAUAGUCCAUCAUGAUAUCAUACCAAGUGUCUCAUGAAUAGUUGCCAGGUCAAGAUGCCGAUUUCGGAAUGGAUUAAAUUGUUGCAUGUUGUACUGGUAAGUUUGGCAUUCAAGAAUCAUUCAGCUAGGGCCAAGGUUUUAAGUUUGGAGGAAUUAAAAAAUUGCAAAAAAUUCAGAAAGAAGAGACAAUUAUAAAUUUGAAGUAAAAUGAAACCAAAAAUAUUUGCAGAUUUAUUCAUUUGAAAAAGGAAUAGGGGAAAGAAGAACAAUAAAUAAUAGUAAAAACACCAUCACCACCAAUAACAGUAGCAAUACUCAUAAAUAAAAUCUAAAAUAUAUGAUUUAUCAAACCAUUCUUAGUUAAUAAUCCAAGAAUAAUAUGGAGAAUCACUCAACAAAGUGAAAAAAAGUAACAAUUCCAGUUUUUUUUUUCCAAUCCUUCAAGAAAACUGUUACUAUGCUUGCUAGCAGAAUUGUUUACCCUUUCUCUUGUUGACACUGACCUACAUGAGCCUAUUGAGUUCAUCGGAACCACAAUGUAGUUCUAGCUAUAUCUGUGACAAUUAGACCAGCUAUCUUCGCAUCCUUAAAUUUUUCCACCACUGCUUCUGCUUCAAUAAGUUAUACUAGCAGUAUGAUUAAUUUAUCCUCAUGCACAUCAUCAACCAAUUUAAGCCUCAAAUAAACAGUUCCCCACUUGAAACCCCAUGUGAGGAUAAUUCCAUGGGCCCCAGCUAGGGCCUUGGUUAGGCCAUUUUCCUAUGAUUUGGGUGGUUGUGGUUCUUGAGCAGUUUUGGCUUGGCUCGGUAGUAGUUGGGGUGUGAAUAGGCAUGGUACAGCAAUGGAUUGGGCAGAAGUGGUUUGGACACACUUGGUUCAAAAGCAGAUCCGGCAUAGCACUUGCCAGGUUUAAGGGCAUGGUUCAAAGGUGGAUGCGUUAACCCAUUUGUGGGAACAAAUAGUCUGCAUCACUAAUACCUCAAAGGCGCACCUAUCACCUCCAGUCCACCUCAUCUAAUAUAUAUCACAUUCUUAUCAAGAACCAACCAUCUACCUAGUCCUACUAGACCUCACAAGUAAACAGCAUCUUUUAGAAAGGCUAAAUGCAAUAACAUAACAAAAUGCUUUGCUUCUGGAUAAGUGGAGCCCUGAACUAGUCUUAGUAGAGCUGUUUCAGUAAAAAGUGGGCUAGGGAGACUGGAAUCUGAACUUAUACUGACCCCUGUUUCACCUUCUUUCCCUAACCAAACAUGUGUUAGACGGUCAUUAUGAUAGAAAAUAGAUAAAGAAUGGAUCUUUUCUGGAGAUGUUUUGAGGAAAAUUAUAAAAAUCAUAAGUUACUAUCUUAUUGAAAGAAAAACCUAUUUUUACACUUAUAGACAGAAUUAGAAAAUAAAUGCAUACUUAAAAAAGGGCCUAAAAUUGAUACUAGAUACGAAACUCACUUUUCAUUGGAUGGUUCAUUGCGCAACACCUCUGGUGCCAUCCACUCAGGCUAAAACAUCAAACAGAUCAAUGCAAAGAUACAGUCAAGCAUUGGUAAUAAAACAGCCAAACAGAAAAUUUUCUUUAUUGACAAUAUUUGCAUACCGUGCCAGCAGUGGACUUGGAUGAUAAAAACGUAUUAUGCUUCAAGCGUGAAAGACCAAAAUCACAAACCUGCAGUUUUUUUGGAACCAAAGACAUGUAAUACAAAUUGAUAUGUUUAGUUAUGUGUGGCAUCUUAUAAAAUACAAGUACUUCUAUUGACCUAGUUAUAACAGCUACAUGUACAUAUGACUACCACUUGCUUGGUCGGCAAUGGUACAAACAAGACAAGCCUUGUAUUGGCAGACCUAGAUAUGAGUACCGGCGGGAUUUCUAGUGGUAGCAAGAUGCAUGGUCCACCAAAUCCCAACCCAACAUGCACAAAACACCAAUGCAAGUGAACAUACGCACAAGAACACAUUGCUUUUGGGAGGGCCCCUAACUGACUGGCCUUCUCUCACCAAAUCCUGGCUAAGCAGUGGUGUGCAAUUUGCAGGGAAUACAGGAGCAUUGAUGAAAAUCAUAUUCCAACCUCUAAAUUAACUAGAUAAAAUUUUAAAUCCAACCAUCAAGACUAAAUCUACAGAGCAAUUCAUAGCUAGAACAAGUUAUCAAGGAGCAGUCCUCAACUAAAGUCAGAAGCUGGUGUCUCUACAUCUUUCAAGGCUAAAAGUUUCCAACUUUCUCAUUUGAUGAUGAAAUUGCAUCAUAUCUCAUAAGAAAUAAGUUAAACAUCUAGUCAAUUAAAAACCUAGUUUCCCAUUAAAGAACACCCAAAGCCCAGGUGGGCUACUACCUUUGCAUGUAAUUCCAAAGCCUAAGUGAAUUUUCAUUAAUUUCGAAACUAAAAUGCAAUCCAGGUUAUCUUAAUAACUUUGCCAAAGAUUUUUUUUUUUUCACUAACUCAAAAACAGAUAGAUUGAACAUUCAAUUUUCCCCAGCAUCUAACUCGAGUGUAUCAUAUACUUAUAAAAGAAAAACAGAACAAAAUCAAGAGAGUUGUCAUAGCUGGUAUUUGCAAAGGCAAAUCAGAGAAAAUGUUUGCAAGAAACAUAUCUAACUACUAAAAGUUAACAAUUAAACCUUUCUCUAGUCGACUCACAUCACCUAGCAUUAGAAUUACUUCAAAAUAGCUAAUAAAAUGCUAUUAAAAUGAAUGGAAAAUACUAGGUAAAGAAGUUUCAAGGUUGACAAGAACACUGCAUACCUUAACUGUCCAAUUCUUGUCUACCAACAAAUUUGGCGAUUUCAGAUCGCGAUGAACAAUUGUUGGUACACUAGUGUGCAAACAAUUCAUGCCCUUGGCCUGUGAGAAGAAUAAGUAAGCAAGAGCAAGCAACCGAGAGAGAGAGAGAGAGAGAGAGAGAGAGAGAGAGAGAGNNNNNNNNNNNNNNNNNNNNGGAGAGAGAGAGAGAGAGAGA